GUUCAAGUAAGGAAUAUUAUUUUUGUUCAACCGUUGUAAGUAAGGGGUUUCUGCCAGGGCCAGUUUCAUAAUUUUUUCGACCCUCAAAAAUUUUGAAAAAAUUUGAAAUGAUAAUUUGAUGAGUUUUCUAGAUUGUGUCCAAAAAUGGCGAUUUUUGGAUGUAUAGAUUAGGAGUUAUGAGUUUUAUGGGAAAAAACUAUUUUAAAAGUAAA
rnacentral:lncRNA from 1 species